AGAGUGAACGCUGGCGGCAGGCCUAACACAUGCAAGUCGAACGGCAGCACGAGAGAGCUUGCUCUCUUGGUGGCGAGUGGCGGACGGGUGAGGAAUACGUCGGAAUCUGCCUUUUUGUGGGGGAUAACGUAGGGAAACUUACGCUAAUACCGCAUACGACCUACGGGUGAAAGCGGAGGACCUUCGGGCUUCGCGCAGAAAGAUGAGCCGACGUCGGAUUAGCUAGGUUGGAGGGGUAAUGGCCCACCAAGGCGACGAUCCGUAGCUGGUCUGAGAGGAUGAUCAGCCACACUGGGACUGAGACACGGCCCAGACUCCU
rnacentral:rRNA from 1 species